rnacentral:misc_RNA from 1 species
GAUGAAAAACGCAGUGAAAUGCGAUAAGUAAUGUGAAUUGCAGAAUUCAGUGAAUCAUCGAAUCUUUGAACGCACAUUGCGCCCCCUGGUAUUCCGGGGGGCAUGCCUGUCCGAGCGUCAUUACAACCCUCAAGCUCAGCUUGGUGUUGGGCCCCGCCGCCCCGGCGGGCCCUAAAGUCAGUGGCGGUGCCGUCCGGCUCCGAGCGUAGUAAUUCUUCUCGCUCUGGAGGUCCGGUCGUGUGCUCGCCAGCAACCCCCAAUUUUUUUCAGGUUGACCUCGGAUCAGGUAGGGAUACCCGCUGAACUUAAGCAUAUCAAUAAGCGGAGA